rnacentral:rRNA from 1 species
UGGGGAAUAUUGGACAAUGGGCGCAAGCCUGAUCCAGCCAUGCCGCGUGUGUGAAGAAGGCCUUUUGGUUGUAAAGCACUUUAAGCGAGGAGGAGGCUACUUGGAUUAAUACUCUAGGAUAGUGGACGUUACUCGCAGAAUAAGCACCGGCUAACUCUGUGCCAGCAGCCUCGGUAAUACAGAGGGUGCGAGCGUUAAUCGGAUUUACUGGGCGUAAAGCGUGCGUAGGCGGCUUCUUAAGUCGGAUGUGAAAUCCCUGAGCUUAACUUAGGAAUUGCAUUCGAUACUGGGAAGCUAGAGUAUGGGAGAGGAUGGUAGAAUUCCAGGUGUAGCGGUGAAAUGCGUAGAGAUCUGGAGGAAUACCGAUGGCGAAGGCAGCCAUCUGGCCUAAUACUGACGCUGAGGUACGAAAGCAUGGGGAGCAAACAGG